rnacentral:lncRNA from 1 species
CAUGUUGCUGUGGCCCUGGUGUAGGCCAGCAGCUACAGCUCCAAUUAGAUCCCUAGCUUGGGAACCUCCAUAUGCCAAGGGAGGCAGCCCUAGAAAAGGCAAAAAGACAAAAAAAAAAAAAAAGAGAAAGUAUGACUGAGUCACUUUGCUGUACAGCAGAAAUUGGCACAACAUUGUAAAUCAACUAUACUUUAGUAAAAGGAAAACGAAAACUUUUUAAAAACUCCAGUUAUAUAUGGGCCAGAAAUUCUGAAUAAUGACCAUUUCAGUGGUAGUUGAAGCUGUAGAUUUGGAUAAGUUCCCAGAGAACAGAGGGCUAAGAGUGCCUUGGUGAAUUCUAACAUUUAAGUCACAAGAAAAAAACACUAAGGAGGAGUUCCUGUCGUGGCUCAGUGGUUAACAAAUCCAAUGAGGAACCAUGAGGUUGCGGAUUUGAUCCCUGGCCUCGCUCAGUGGAUUAAGGAUCCAGCAUUGCCAUGAGCUGUGAUGUAGGUUACAGACAAGGCUUGGCUCCUGCAUUGCUGUGGCUUUGGUGUAGGCGGGGGGCUGCUGCUCUGAUUCGACCCUUAGCCUGGGAACCUCCAUAUGCCGCGGGAGCGGACCAAGAAAUGGCAAAAAGACAAAAAACAAAAACAAACAAAAAAAAACCACUAAGGAGUUCCCACUGUGGUGCAAUGGGAUUAGCAGGGUGUCUGCAGCACCACGAUGCAGGUUUGAUCCUCGGCCUGGCACAGCGGGUUAAGGGAUACUCUGUGGCAUAAGUUGCAACUGUGGCUUGGAUCUGAUCCCUGGCCCAGGAACUCCAUAUGCCAUGGGGCAGCCAAAAAAUAGAGGAAAGAAAAACAAUGUGGUGUUCCCGUUGUGGCUCAUUGAGCUAAGAAUCAGACAUAGUGUCCAUGAGGAUGUGGGUUCAAUCCCUAGCUUCACUCAGUGGGUUAAGGAUCUGGCAUUGCUGCAAAGUUCCAGUGCAGGUCGAAGAUCCUGUGUUGCUAUGGCUGUGAUGUAGCCGUGCAGCUGCAGCUCCAGUUCAACCCCUAGCCUGGGAACUUCCGUAUGCCACAGGUGCAGCCAUUAAAAACAAAAAACAAGCAAAACAACAACAAUGAAAAAAACCCCAAACACCUGGAUGAUAAUUGUCAUGGAGUCAAAGGGAAGAGAGUAUUUCAAGAGGAUAGACAUUAUUAAAACUGUCAGAUGUCUCCAGAGAGGCAGCUAAGGAAAGGUUAAAAGCUCCAGACCCAGGUUUCCUGGAAACUUGGCAUAAAGGUCAAAUCCAGGUCUUGAACCAUCCCACAGGUAUCAUAUGGAAUUCAGCCCCCCGUGCCAUUCCAUCCUUACAUGUCAUGACUACCAGUCCCCGACUUUCAGUGGGUCUUGCAGUCAACACCAGCCAGUUUUGGCACCACUUAGUUUCCACACUCAAGAAUGCUAUCUUUCCCAUUCAUUGUUAUGGCCCUUAAGCUGCCAUCAAGAAAAACUUGUUUUGGAGUUCUCAUCAUGCCUGGGUCAGUGGUUAGCAAACCCGACGAGCAUCCAUGAGGACUUGGGUUCAAUCCCUGGCCUCGCUCAGUGGGUUAAGGAUCCUGCAUUGCUGUGAGCUGUGGUGUAGGUCACAGAUGUGGCUCUGACCCUCUGUUGCUGUGGCUAUGGUGUAGGCCGGCGGCUACAGCUCAUAUUGGACUCCUAGCCUGGGAUCCUCCAUA